GACGGAGGGUGCAAGCGUUGUUCGGAAUUACUGGGCGUAAAGGGCGCGUAGGCGGUCUGUUAAGUUCGGUGUGAAAGCCCCCCGGCUCACCUGGGGAACUGCGCCGGAAACCGACAGACUCGAGUACCGGAGAGGAGGGUGGAAUUCUGGUGUAGCGGUGAAAAUGCGUAGAUAUCAGGAGGAACACCGGUGGCGAAGGCGGCCCUCUGGACGGAUACUGACGCUGGAGGCGCGAAAAGCGUGGGGGAUCAAAA
rnacentral:rRNA from 1 species